UACGGGGGGGGCAAGCGUUGUUCGGAAUUACUGGGCGUAAAGGGCUCGUAGGUGGCCAAGUAAGUCAGACGUGAAAUCCCCAGGCUCAACUUGGGAACUGCGUCUGAUACUGGAUGGCUUGAAUUCGGGAGAGGGAUGCAGAAUUCCAGGUGUAGCGGUGAAAUGCGUAGAUAUCUGGAGGAACACCGGUGGCGAAAGCGGCUCACUGGACCUGAUCUGACACUGAGGUGCGAAAGCUAGGGUAGCAAACGGG
rnacentral:rRNA from 1 species